ACGCUCGACACCUACGGGGAGGCAGCAGGUGGGGAAUAUUGCACAAGUGGGGGAAACCCUGAUGCAGCGACGCCGCGUGAGCGAAGAAGUAUUUCGGUAUGUAAAGCUCUAUCAGCAGGGAAGAAACUGACGGUACCUGACUAAGAAGCACCGGCUAAAUACGUGCCAGCAGCUGCGGUAAUCUGAGCGGGCUGGCAAGGC
rnacentral:rRNA from 1 species